rnacentral:rRNA from 1 species
CCUACGGGGGGCUGCAGUGGGGAAUAUUGCACAAUGGGCGCAAGCCUGAUGCAGCCAUGCCGCGUGUGUGAAGAAGGCCUUCGGGUUGUAAAGCACUUUCAGCGGGGAGGAAGGCGGUGAGGUUAAUAACCUCAUCGAUUGACGUUACCCACAGAAGAAGCACCGGCUAACUCCGUGCCAGCAGCCGCGGUAAUACGGAGGGUGCAAGCGUUAAUCGGAAUUACUGGGCGUAAAGCGCACGCAGGCGGUCUGUCAAGUCGGAGGUGAAAUCCCCGGGCUCAACCUGGGAACUGCAUUCGAAACUGGCAGGCUAGAGUCUUGUAGAGGGGGGUAGAAGUCCAGGUGUAGCGGUGAAAUGCGUAGAGAUCUGGAGGAAUACCGGUGGCGAAGGCGGCCCCCUGGACAAAGACUGACGCUCAGGUGCGAAAGCGUGGGGAGCAAACAGGAUUAGAUACCCCAGUAGUC